rnacentral:rRNA from 1 species
GACGAACGCUGGCGGCGUGCUUAACACAUGCAAGUCGAACGGAAAGGCCCUGCUUUUGUGGGGUGCUCGAGUGGCGAACGGGUGAGUAACACGUGAGUAACCUGCCCUUGACUUUGGGAUAACUUCAGGAAACUGGGGCUAAUACCGGAUAGGAGCUCCUGCUGCAUGUUGGGGGUUGGAAAGUUUCGGCGGUUGGGGAUGGACUCGCGGCUUAUCAGCUGGUUGGUGGGGUAGUGGCUUACCAAGGCUUUGACGGGUAGCCGGCCUGAGAGGGUGACCGGCCACAUUGGGACUGAGAUACGGCCCAGACUCCUACGGGAGGCAGCAGUGGGGAAUAUUGCACAAUGGGCGGAAGCCUGAUGCAGCAACGCCGCGUGCGGGAUGACGGCCUUCGGGUUGUAAACCGCUUUCGCAUGUGACGAAGCGUGAGUGACGGUAAUGGGUAAAGAAGCACCGGCUAACUACGUG